GAUUUAUAAAUUAGGAUAAAAAGAAUAUUUUUGGAUAGAUGAGUAUUCUUUAAGAAUUUUUCAUGAAUAUGUUGUAUUUAUAAAUAAUUUUCUUAAAAACUGCUAUUUUUGGAAAGUUUUUUAUUUUCUUGAGAAAUAUUGUAGAUUAGGGUUUGUGAUAUAGAAAUUAGGAUAACAAGAAUAUUUGUGGAUAGAUGUGUAUUCUUUCUGAUUUUUUCAUCAAUAGGUUGUAUUUUUAAAUAAUUUUCUUAAAAACUGCUAUUUUUGGAAAGUUUUUAUUUUCUUGAGAAAUAUUGUAGAUUAGGGUUUGUGAUUUAGAAAUCAGGAUAACAAGAAUAUUUUUGGAUAGAUGAGUAUUCUUUAAGAAUUUUUCAUGAAUAUGUUGUAUUUAUAAAUAAUUUUCUUAAAAACUGCUAUUUUGGAAAGUUUUUUAUUUUUUUGAGAAAUAUUGUAGAUUAGGGUUUGUGAUUUAGAAAUUAGGAUAACA
rnacentral:lncRNA from 1 species